UGAUUGUAUCCUUUGGGACUCCUUGGACAUCUCCAGUAUUAAAGCUAAGCACAUUUGGUGCUCCAUCCAAGCUAAGAAGCAACCUGUCACAUGGGGAUUUAUUCCUUGGAAUAAAAUAUGUGUUCCUAGGUAUUCCUUUAUACUUUGGCUUGGGAUUUUGAGGAGAUUGCCCACUAAUGAUAGAAAUAUCCAAAUUACGGGUAGGAGUUUGGUUUGUCAGCUUUGUCAAAACCGCACUGAAUCUUUUGAGCAUUUGUUCUUUUUAUGUGAUUACUCUAGAUUUAUAUUCCGAAGUGCUAUGGAUUUGGGUCAGUGGAAUAGUAUUUCAAAUAAUU
rnacentral:lncRNA from 1 species